rnacentral:precursor_RNA from 1 species
UGGCCGCAUACCUCCUGGCGGGCAGCUGUGGUGCAUUGUAGUUGCAUUGCAUGUUCUGGUGGUACCCAUGCAAUGUUUCCACAGUGCAUCACAGAGGCCUGCCUGGCCCUCGAGAGACUGC